GCCCUUGUAGCUUAGUUGGUUACAUCACUCGCUUAGUAAGUGGAUGUCUUGAGUUCGACUCUCAAUAAGAGCA
rnacentral:tRNA from 1 species